GGCAACCCUGGUGGCGAGUGGCGAACGGGUGAGUAAUACAUCGGAACGUGUCCUGUAGUGGGGGAUAGCCCGGCGAAAGCCGGAUUAAUACCGCAUACGCUCUACGGAGGAAAGGGGGGGAUCUUAGGACCUCUCGCUACAGGGGCGGCCGAUGGCAGAUUAGCUAGUUGGUGGGGUAAAGGCCUACCAAGGCGACGAUCUGUAGCUGGUCUGAGAGGACGACCAGCCACACUGGGACUGAGACACGGCCCAGACUCCUACGGGAGGCAGCAGUGGGGAAUUUUGGACAAUGGGCGCAAGCCUGAUCCAGCAAUGCCGCGUGUGUGAAGAAGGCCUUCGGGUUGUAAAGCACUUUUGUCCGGAAAGAAAACCUCUGGGUUAAUACCCCGGGGGGAUGACGGUACCGGAAGAAUAAGCACCGGCUAACUACGUGCCAGCAGCCGCGGUAAUACGUAGGGUGCAAGCGUUAAUCGGAAUUACUGGGCGUAAAGCGUGCGCAGGCGGUCCGCUAAGACAGAUGUGAAAUCCCCGGGCUUAACCUGGGAACUGCAUUUGUGACUGGCGGGCUAGAGUAUGGCAGAGGGGGGUAGAAUUCCACGUGUAGCAGUGAAAUGCGUAGAGAUGUGGAGGAAUACCGAUGGCGAAGGCAGCCCCCUGGGCCAAUACUGACGCUCAUGCACGAAAGCGUGGGGAGCAAACAGGAUUAGAUACCCUGGUAGUCCACGCCCUAAACGAUGUCAACUAGUUGUUGGGGAUUCAUUUCCUUAGUAACGUAGCUAACGCGUGAAGUUGACCGCCUGGGGAGUACGGUCGCAAGAUUAAACUCAUG
rnacentral:rRNA from 1 species